rnacentral:rRNA from 1 species
UACGAAGGAUGCGAGCGUUAUCCGGAUUUAUUGGGUUUAAAGGGUGCGUAGGCGGCCUUAUAAGUCAGUGGUGAAAUCCUAUCGCUUAACGAUAGACGUGCCAUUGAUACUGUAGGGCUUGAGUACAGAUGCCGUUGGCGGAAUGUGUCAUGUAGCGGUGAAAUGCAUAGAUAUUGGGAAGAACACCGAUGGCGAAGGCAGCCAUCUGGACCGACACUGACGCUGAGGCGCGAAAGCGUGGGGAGCAAACAGG